CCCCAAAUUGCUGGGUUCCUGCCUCAGCCUCUGGAGUAGCUGGAACUACAGGUGCAUGCUACUGUGCUUGGCUUAAAUAUUUUUUAAGAAAGCUAAACUGAAGGGGAAGCUCUGCCAGCUGGAGACCAGUCAUUUAACUAUUUGGUAUAUAUUCAUCCAGUCUUUAACAUAUGCACUACUGUUUUUUAAGCCUAGUUGAAACUAUAUUGUGCAUACAACUUGUUUUGUUUUGUUUUUCUUGCUCUCCAUAAAAACGCCAAUUUCUUUUCAAACACCUCUUUUCAAGUCUUAUAAAUAGUCAUAGUAUUUCUAGAGCUGGUGAUAAGGGUCCCUGGUUCAUUUCAGAGAAGAGGCCAAGUAAUGAAAUCCUUGAAAAGAAAAUCCUGAAAAAAAUGGGAAGAGGAAUGUAAGGGGAUGCAGUUACUAAGAAAUGACUUGUAUUUACUUGCUCAUGAAUGUGGAAGUCUAGAUUCCAUCUUUUCUUUUUUCUGCAUCUUUAUUACAUUGUGCUCAAUUCCUAUUUGGAUAGGUUUUUUUUUUUUUUAGGAUCAAUAUGCUUAAGUGACUAUCUGGGAACAGCAGAGCAUUCUGAAAAUUUUUGUAGGAAUCCAGUUGUAGGAAAACCAAAAGUAGAUUAUUACAGUUUUAAGCUACUAAAAUAUAUAUACUGAUGUCCUAGUAUAUGAGUGUCCUAGAGUAUUAGAAUGUUAUAUGCAAAAUAUACAGAUUACUGAGCCUUUUUAUCUGUCAUUUUAUAGGUGGACAAGCUGAGCCCAGAGAAAUGAAAUGAAUCACACAGCUUUGCUCACACAGCUACUGAAGGCAGAGCUUGGACUAAAAUUUAGGUCUCCUAAUUCCUAGGUCUCUGUUUUAGAAACUCCUGAAACCCUUUAAAAUUAAUUAAUUAAUUCUGGUAAGAACACAGCAAAGUAGGUUAGGGUUAUUUAUUCUGUCUUUAGAGCCAUUUACUGAAAAAGUGAUUAAAUGUGUAUAAUAUGAGCCAAUUCUACUAAAAUUAAAUAUGUUUUUAAUUGCUCUAAAAACAACAGACUAUUAAGUAGGCUUAUCGUACUAGGAAUUAGCUUUCAGUUUCUUGUGCAACCAGUUUGAAGAUCACCACUUCUCACCUGGCAUCUUAAAUUACUUUUAUAUUAGGCAUAAAGCCUUAUUUUCUUAUAAGAUUAAGCAAAUACAUAGUCAUUAGAUUAGCUGCAUCUCAGUGUUCUUCCAGUCCUCUCAGCAAAAUCAAGGAAUGGGGGAGGGGAAGCAUCUCACCUUUGGAUUUGUAUAAAUUAUUAGAAUGCAUCCAUUGGCCUGUUGGUGUUCCUUCCAAAUGACAUCCUCAGGCUUUAAUUUCCGAUCUUCCCUCUUUGCUAUAUGGAAUAAGCAGGGGAUGCACAAUGGAUUUCUUUAUAUCAUUUUAUGCCAAAAUUAUUCUCUGAAUGUGAUCAAAUAGUUUGCCAAAACAGACUUUAAUCAAGGUGUGCAGAGAAGACUCUUUAAUCAUUAAAGCAAAUGAGUUGGAAUUUUUAGUUCAAAAUUUAAAUUGAAGUGGUUGUAUUAUGGACCCAGGGAGUAGGUGAGUUUGGAGUCCAGAUCUUUUCUAGGAUCCUCAUAUUUUCUUCCUUAUAGUAUUCACUGCUCUCAUGUUGUCUGCUUUGGCAUUCCACCAGAGCUUAUCCUUUCCAAAAUGUAUCUCAAGUGCCAAAAUGAUUUUUUGUAACUAUUAAAAUGCUAAACAACACCCCCCACCUUCCAGUACCCUGAUCGCAGAAAGCAGGAAUGAGGGGAUAACAGACAAAGCUGCAAGGACACUUGCAAAUCAUCUCAUCUGAUUUUAUUGAUAGGGAAACUGGGUCAUAGAGUGGCAUAGUCACUUGCCCAGUGUUAAUGGCAGAACUAAAAUUCAAAUACCCUGCUGGAUGAUUUAGCCUAGAUGCAUUUUAAC
rnacentral:lncRNA from 1 species